AGUCAUAUGCUUGUCUCAAGGAUUAAGCCAUACAUGUCUAAGUACAAGCUUUUACCCAGUGAAACCGCGAAUGGCUCAUUAAAUCAGUUAUGGUUCCUUAGAUCGUACUAUCCUACUUGGAUAACUGUGGCAAUUCUAGAGCUAAUACAUGCAAUAAAGCUCCGACCUUCGGGGACGAGCGCUUUUAUUAGAUCAAAAACCAAUCGCCCGAAAGGUGUACUUGGUGGUGACUCUGGAUAACUUUGGGCUGAUCGCAUGGCCUUGUGCCGGCGACGUAUCUUUCAAAUGUCUGCCCUAUCAACUGGCGAAGGUAGGUCCUAUGCCUACCUUGGUUGUAACGGGUAACGGGGAAUCAGGGUUCGAUUCCGGAGAGGGAGCAUGCGAAACGGCUACCACAUCCAAGGAAGGCAGCAGGCGCGCGAAUUACCACUCUGCACGGGGAGGUAGUGACGGAAAAAUAACAAUACGGGACUCUAUCGAGGCCCCGUAAUUGGAAUGAGUACACUUUAAAUCCUUUAGCGAGGAUCUAUUGGAGGGCAAGUCUGGUGCCAGCAGCCGAGGUAAUUCCAGCUCCAAUAGCGUAUAUUAAAGUUGUUGCAGUUAAAAAGCUCGUAGUUGGAUCUCGGGUCCAGGCCUGUGGUGCCUUUAACCAGGACACUGCUUGCCCUGACCUACUGGCCGGUUCUCCCUUGAUGCUCUUGUCUGAGUGUCUCGGGUAGCCGGAACGUUUACUUUGAAAAAAUUAGAGUGUUCAAAGCAGGCAUUUCGCCUGAAUACUGGUGCAUGGAAUAAUAGAAUAGGACCUCGGUUCUAUUUUGUUGGUUUUCGGAACUCGAGGUAAUGAUUAAGAGGGACGGCCGGGGGCAUCCGUAUUACGGUGUUAGAGGUGAAAUUCUUGGAUCGCCGUAAGACGAACGACUGCGAAAGCAUUUGCCAAGAAUGUUUUCAUUAAUCAAGAACGAAAGUCAGAGGUUCGAAGACGAUCAGAUACCGUUGUAGUUCUGACCAUAAACACUCCGACCUAGAGAUCCGGAGGCGUUGUUUUUAUGACUCCUCGGGCAUCUUCCGGGAAACCAAAGUUUUUGGGUUCCGGGGGAAGUAUGGUUGCAAAGCUGAAACUUAAAGGAAUUGACGGAAGGGCACCACCAGGAGUGGACCGUGCGGCUUAAUUUGACUCAACACGGGGCAACUCACCUGGCCCGGACACCGUAAGGAUUGACAGAUUGAGAGCUCUUUCUUGAUUCGGUGGGUGGUGGUGCAUGGCCGUUCUUAGUUGGUGGAGCGAUUUGUCUGGUUAAUUCCGAUAACGAACGAGACUCUAGCCUAUUAAAUAGUUCACCGAUUCCAGUUGUCGGUGUUAACUUCUUAGAGGGACAAGUGGCGUUUAGCCACACAGAUUGAGCAAUAACAGGUCUGUGAUGCCCCUAGAUGUUCGGGGCCGCACGCGCGCUACACUGAAGGAAUCAACGUGUGCUUGUCCUGGUCCGGAAGAUCGUGAACCCGUUGAACCUCCUUCUGGCUAGGGAUUGGGCUUGUAAUUAUUCCCCAUGAACGAGGAAUUCCCAGUAAGCCAGUCAUCAGCUCGCGUUGAUUACGUCCUGCCCUUUGUACACACCGGCUUGAUUACGUCCCUGCGCUUUGUACACACCGCCCGUCGCUACUACCGAUUGGAUGGUUUAGUGAGAUCUCGAUUGGUCCCGGCUUGAUGGGCAACCGUCCGGCCGGUGCGCCGAGAAGUAGAUCGAACUUGACCAUCUAGAGGAAGUAAAAGUCGUAACAA
rnacentral:rRNA from 1 species